rnacentral:rRNA from 1 species
CAGCAGCCACGGUAAUACAGAGGGUGCGAGCGUUAAUCGGAUUUACUGGGCGUAAAGCGUGCGUAGGCGGCUUUUUAAGUCGGAUGUGAAAUCCCUGAGCUUAACUUAGAAAUUGCAUUCGAUACUGGGAAGCUAGAGUAUGGGAGAGGAUGGUAGAAUUCCAGGUGUAGCGGUGAAAUGCGUAGAGAUCUGGAGGAAUACCGAUGGCGAAGGCAGCCAUCUGGCCUAAUACUGACGCUGAGGUACGAAAGCAUGGGGAGCAAACAGGAUUAGAUACCCCGGUAGUCCCUGUCUCUUAUAC